rnacentral:rRNA from 1 species
AGAGUUUGAUUCUGGCUCAGGACGAACGCUGGCGGCGCGCCUAACACAUGCAAGUCGAACGAGCGAGAGGGAGCUUGCUUUCUCGAGCGAGUGGCGAACGGGUGAGUAACGCGUGAGGAAUCUGCCUCAUACAGGGGGAUAGCAGUUGGAAACGACUGGUAAAACCGCAUAAGCGCACGGUAUCGCAUGAUACAGUGUGAAAACACUCCGGUGGUAUGAGAUGGACCCGCGUCUGAUUAGCUAGUUGGUGAGGUAACGGCCCACCAAGGCGACGAUCAGUAGCCGGCCUGAGAGGGUGAACGGCCACAUUGGGACUGAGACACGGCCCAA